rnacentral:lncRNA from 1 species
UCAAGAUCAAGGACUCACGGGAAGAUAUCACAACACAACUCUAGACACAAUUUAAAAUAAUACAAGCUUUAUAUUACAAGCCAGGGGCCUCAUGGGCUCGAAUACAUAAGCUCGAAAACACAAGAGUCAGCGGAACCAACAAUAUCUGAGAACAGACAUAAGUUAAACAAGAUUGCCUUAAGAAGGCUAGCACAAAAGUAGCAACAAUCGAAAAGGCAAGGCCUCCUGCGACCUCCUAACUACUCCUCGAAGUCGAACUCCAUGUAGAAUCAUCCUCGGGAUCCUCUGGCUCCUGGACUCCAUCAUAUGAUCGCAGCAACCGGGAAAAGGGGAAAAGGAAGUAGGAAAGCAACCGUGAGUACUCAUCCAAAGUACUUGCAAGCAAGGAGCUACACUACAUAUGCAUUGGUAUGAAAUGAAAGGUGUAGUAUAUGUGGACUGAACUGCAUAAUGCCAGAAUAAGAGGGGGAUAGCUAGUCCUGUCGAAGACUACACUUCUGCCAGUCUCCAUCUUGCAGCAUGUAGAAGAGAGUAGAUAGUAAGUUCACCAAGUAUCAUCGCAUAGCAUAAUCCUACCCGGCGAUCCUCUCCUCGCCGCCCUGUGAGAGAGCGAUCACCGGGUUGUAUCUGGCACUUGGAAGCGUGUAUGUUAUUAAGUAUCCGGUUCUAGUUGUCAUAAGGUCAAGAUACAACUCCGAGUCGUCCUUUUACCGAGGGACACGGCUAUGCAAAUAGAUAAACUUCCCUGCAGGGGUGCACCACAUUUUCCAACAUGCUUGAUCCCCUUUGGCCGGACAAACUUUCCUGGGUCAUGCCCGGCCUUGGAAGAUCAACACGUCACAGCCCUACCUAGGCACAACAGAGAGGUCAGCACGCCGGUCUAAAUCCUAAGCGCGCAGGGGUCUGGGCCCAUCGCCCAUUGCACACCUGCACGUUGCGUACGCGGCCGGUGAGCAGACCUAGCAACCUCCAUUACAAAGGAAGUUGCGUGAUGCGGUCCAACCUGGCAUGCGCCGCUCAGUCGCUGACGUCAAGAAGGCUUCAGCUCAUACCACGACAUCAAGUGCCCAUAAUUGUUCAUGCGUAGUUGGUUAGUGCGUAUAGGCCAGUGGCCGGACUCAGAUCAAAUACCAAGAUGUCGUUAAGCGUGUUAUCUAGAAGUAAACGCGAACGCCGACCAGGGCCAGGCCCACCUCUCACCUGGGUGGUCUCAACCUGCCCUGUCGCUCCGCCACAAAGAUGCACACAAAGGGCCGUCGAGAAAGUAUGUCCUUUCAGCCCCCAAUUUGUGAAUCAACCAUGGGUACUCAACGAGCCGACCCGACUUUAGUCACAACAUGUAUCAUGUGUAAUAUGUAUAGUAUAUACCCGUGAUCAACACCCGACGUGAUCACAGCCCGAUAGUAUAGCAUGGCAGACUGACAAGAAUGUAGGGCCACUGAUGAUAAACUAGCGUCCUAUACUAAGCAUUUAGGAUUGCAGGUAAGGAAUCAACAGUUGUAGCAACAAUGACAGGCUAUGCAUCAGAAUAGGAUUAAUGGAAAGCAGUAACAUGCUACACUACUCUAAUGCAAGCAGUAGAGAGAAGAAUAGGCGAUAGCGGGCUGAUCAAGGGGGAGGGGGGCUUGCCAGAUUUCUCUGGCAAGUAGGAGGCGUCAACAACGUAGUCGAUCGGGGCACCAGCAGCGACGUCAGUCUCGUAGUCUACCGGAGAGAAGAGGGGGAAGAAACAAUGAAUACAAUGCAAACAGAUGCAUAACGAUGCAUGACAUGACAAUGAGCGGUGCUAGGUGGGCCCUAACGUAGUAGGAGGUGAUACCGGCGAAUGGGGAAAACAUCCGGGAAAGUAUCCUCGGUGUUUCGCGUUUUCAAACAGAUGAAUCAGAGGGAAAAAAUUACGUGUUUGCUAUGCUAGGGAUGUGUGGCGGACGAACUGGAUGUGUAUCCGGAUUCGUCUCGUCGUUCUGUUCAACUUUCAUGUACAAAGUUUUUUCAUCUGAGUUACGAUUUAUUUUAUAUUGAAUUUCGAAGUUUAAAUGAUUUUCUGAUUUUCUAGAUUUAUUUUAAUUUGACAUAUUAAAUUGACUAAAUGCUAAGUGCACCUAAAACCGUACCCAGUAGCGUGUGCUACAGGCUGAUAGGUGCGGGCCGUUGACCGUUGACUCAAUAGUCAACAAUUAAAUGUUGACUGGUCAGUGGGUCCUGCAAGGCCCAUAUGUCAUUGACUGGGACUAGCCCAGUUAGCAGUUGACUGGUCAAAGUUGUGACUGGGUCCACCAGUCAUUGAUUGACUUAUUUUAACAAGGGUUUAAUUACUCUAAUUAGGAUUACUAGAGAAUGAGUCCCACUUGUCAACAUUAGUGGGUUAGUCUAGUUUUAAUCUAACUAAUCUAAUUAGCAAUUAGAGGAGGGCCGGCUUGCUGGGCACUGUAUAAAGCCCAGUCGGCUUCAUCGUGGCUGUGCAUGCAUGCACAGGCACACGGCGGCUACGGCCAGCCACGACCAUGAGCUCGCACGGGAGUGGCCAUGGGCACGAGCGGGCUGGCACGCGCGGGUGUGCAGUUGAGUGCAGGGGGCGCAUGGGGUGGAGUCCGCGGCCUACGGCGAGCAGCAGACAUCAGCGGCGACAGCGACGGCGGCCGCAGCAAGCAGUGCGACAUCAGCGGCGAUAUUGGCAAGAAACGGCAGCGGCGGCAUCAGUAGCAACAACAGCGGGGUGAGGCCAUGGCGCACCGGCGCGCGCGACAGGAGCAGCAAUGGGACGCGGACACGCACAGGCGGCCGUGGCGCCGUCAGGAGGCCUACGAGGCGCAGUCGGCGCAGGGUGAGCGCGAGCGUGCGCAGGCGCACGGGGGAGCAGAGCUCCAAGCGCGGCCACGGGAGGAUGCGGGAGAUGGCUACGUCGACGAAUCGAGACGGAAAUCAGUGGGGAAUGGAGGAGGAGCUCACAGUGAACACAAAGACGAGGUCGGGGAGGCCGGGGCUGGACCGAAGCGGCGGCAAACGACGACGGACG